rnacentral:rRNA from 1 species
UACGUAGGGACCAAGCGUUGUUCGGAUUUACUGGGCGUAAAGGGCGCGUAGGCGGCGUGUUAAGUCAGCUGUGAAAUCUCCAAGCUUAACUUGGAACGGUCAGCUGAUACUGAUGUGCUAGAGUGCAGAAGGGGCAAUCGGAAUUCUUGGUGUAGCGGUGAAAUGCGUAGAUAUCAAGAGGAACACCUGAGGUGAAGACGGGGUUGCUGGGCUGACACUGACGCUGAGGCGCGAAAGCUAGGGUAGCAAACGGGG